GAGCAUUAUAUCUGAAAGUUGGUCAAACUGUUCACUGAGCACAUCAGGAAAUACUGAGGGGGAAGAACUUUGGACUCAAGAUAGCUGAGAUUUUGUACAAAGUUCAGGACGGGCUGUCAGCCAAUUAUCAGCAUUUUUUCCUCCACAGAAUAACUCUUGUAUAUACAUCCUCAAUUCCAAUUCCGGACUUAAAAAGGAGACCAUUUUUCCAGACAGUGAUUUUCUCCAAUAUCUCAUCUCCUGGUGUCUGUGUGUGGUUUUAACAGGCAGGCAGGCGCUCCCAUGGGGUUGCAGUCUUGCAAGCUUUGCAACUCCUGCCUACAAAGUGAGGAGGAAUGUAGAGCGGCUGGUGGCUGCCUAUGUAUGUGUGAGAACUGGAGAUAUUGCUCUGACCGCUGCUGUGACAUCUGCUGCCAGAUGUGUGUGGACAUGUGCGCUGGCUUGUGUUCAGGAGACUGCAGCUACACCGUCUGUACUCUCUGCCUCGGCCUGCUGCAGAAUUGUGUCUCAUUUUUUACCACCCAACAAACUGAAACAUCAGAGACACAGGCUCCAGAGCAGCUUUCCUGGUGAGCAUCUGACAAACAUGUGACCAACCACAAAGGAUUCCCAAAGCCACACUGGAUGAAUUGAAUUUAGCAACACAGUAUUUGUUUUGUUUGCUUGGCAUAUGCUGUGGGAUUCUAAAGCAAUGGGGUCCUUUGUUUCAUGAAAGAUGAGAAUAAUAGCAAUUUCAACUGCACUGUAAUUAAAUGAGAAGAUUUUUUCACUUGAGCUAUUUAAUCCACGUUGACCUCUAAAUUUCCUACCAAGCAUACUGUGGAACUGAUCCAGUCAUUUGUAUUGUUUACUUCCAAGUGCAUUUCAGUGAUAGUGUAAGUAUCAAUCUUUCAUUCUUAGACAUGUUGACAGUAAUAGAAGUCUCUCAGUUAAUUUAGAACAAUAAUCAUCCUCUAACUUCUAGAGGUCAAAACAGGCCUCUAUAUAUCAGUUCUAUUCAGUUAUGAGUUGACCUGUCAGCGGUAAAUCAACACCUUAGGACUGAGGAAGACUUCAAAAUGGUUGAAAUUUUGCAAGUAAAGGUAAAUGGAGCUCUAUUUCAGUGUGCAAUUACUCGUCUUUUUCUUUUGUAUUCAGCUAUCCCACUCAGGUUUUGGGGAUGUGUACAUUACAACUCUGUUCCAUGUCCUAAUGUGCUUGGGAAAAGCAAAUAAAACUAAAGGAGUGUC